rnacentral:rRNA from 1 species
GUCUACGGCCAUGCUGCCCUGAACAAGCCCGAUCCCAUCUGAUCACAGAAGCUAUGCAGGGUUGGCCCUGGUUAGUACUUGGAUGGGAGACCACCUAGGAAGACCAUGUGCUAUAGGCA